GACGAACGCUGGCGGCGUGCUUAACACAUGCAAGUCGAACGGAAAGGCCCUGCUUUUGUGGGGUGCUCGAUUGGCGAACGGGUGAGUAACACGUGAGUAACCUGCCCUUGUCUUUGGGAUAACUUCAGGAAACUGGGGCUAAUACCGGAUAGGAGCUCCUGCUGCAUGGUGGGGGUUGGAAAGUUUCGGCGGUUGGGGAUGGACUCGCGGCUUAUCAGCUUGUUGGUGGGGUAGUGGCUUACCAAGGCUUUGACGGGUAGCCGGCCUGAGAGGGUGACCGGCCACAUUGGGACUGCGAUACGGCCCAGACUCCUACGGGAGGCAGCAGUGGGGAAUAUUGCACAAUGGGCGGAAGCCUGAUGCAGCAACGCCGCGUGCGGGAUGCCGUCCUUCGGGUUGUAAACCGAUUUCGACUGUGACGAAGCGUGAGUGACGGUAAUGGGUAAAGAAGCACCGGCUAACUACGUG
rnacentral:rRNA from 1 species